AGAUGCCACCUGGAGUGCCCUGUGCCCCCUAAGUGAGCCUGCUACCCUCAGGUGCAGCGAAGGCCACUGCUCUGGUGUUGAUUCAGUUGCCAGUCUUGUUGGCUUCUGAACAUGGAAUUGGCAGCGUCAUCUUCUAGGCCACCUCAGCCAGGUAAAUGUCCUGGGUUAGACCUUAUUCUGAUGAUCACCUGAAUGCUGCCCCACCUGUGCAGGUGGGGUGGGAAGGUUGGCAUUGCUUAUUCCGCCACUCCUCCCCUUCAAUUUGCUCACUGUUUUUCUUUCCAACAUAUCUUCUCAGUAUCUGCAGCAGCACACCUUCCAAAGCCACUAUCGUGGAAUCUCACAGAGAGGAGAACACUGUCUUUCAUUUCCUUAUUUGCUGACGUUUUAUUUCCCUUCCUUUCCCCCCCGGUAGAAAACUGCACUUCAUUGCAAAAUAAUACUCAGGGUGCCUAGUUAUGGAAAGGUUUCGUGCUUCUGUGGAUACACGCCUAAUUGAAAACACAUUUUUAAAUAACGCUCUGCAACCAUUAAUAUUCCACUGAAUUUAUAUACUGUGUUAAUUGUAACAUAUUACAUUACCUCUGUUGCCAAAAUUCAACACUAAUCUGGUUUGAAAACAGCUACGAGAAGUGGGAGUGAGGACCUUGGAACUGACCAUCAACAGUGGACACAGACUGAGCAGAAAUACAGGUCUUUACCACUAUACUGAGGUGGGUUGUAUUUCAAUUUAAAUUAAAGUGAUUGUUUCUAAAUCGGCAUCUGCUUGUUUAUUUAGUAUAUUGCACUCUUCCUUCCAAAGGACCUCAGGAUGGCAACCAUUGAGUGAGAAGAACAAUUUUUUAAAAAUCAUAAAAACAAUUCCAAUGCAGGUGAAGACUAGAAAAGAUAUCAACUUCACAGACUUGAUGAAAGAUGAAGGUCCUCAGUAGAUCUACAAAAUGCAAAUUUUAUGCAAAUAUGUGACCCCUUUAUCUUCUCUCUCUCUCUCUCUGGUGUGUGAC